UCUCCCCCAUGAAAAGUAUGCCUAGCACAUUCCUAAAAUUUUUAUUUAGUACUUCAAGGGACAACUUAGAGAAUGAAAAGAAGUUACACUCCUCUUCUUUUUCUAAUAAAAAAAUCACAAAUUAAAACAAUGGCUAUACAAUCAGAAGCCCACUUCUUUAGUCUCAAUAUUUCUUUCAAAAGCUUCAUUCACAGUUUUUUCAAAAACCAUUGUCUUCCUCCAUCCUCCUUUCUUCCUUUCUCUGUCCUUUCGUCUCAUAAUUACCUUCACCCAAAACAUUGAAUGAGAACAACAAUAAUCUCAUGCCCUCCCAUACCUAGGUGGAAUCCCACAAAAAUCCAUACCUCUGCUUCAACCACACCAUGCGCCAUUAAAAAGAGAACAAUGCAAGCAAAUCUUGAACUCAAAUAAAUCUUAUAGAUACCUAUUUAAUGCAUGCUCUAUGCAAAUAUAAAUAAACCAACUAAAAACGGGUACGAAUCGGAGGAAAAAGAAUAUAAGAUUUUUUUUUUCCCUUUCCC
rnacentral:lncRNA from 1 species